rnacentral:rRNA from 1 species
GACGAACGCUGGCGGCGUGCUUAACACAUGCAAGUCGAACGGAAAGGCCCUGCUUUUGUGGGGUGCUCGAGUGGCGAACGGGUGAGUAACACGUGAGUAACCUGCCCUUGACUUUGGGAUAACUUCAGGAAACUGGGGCUAAUACCGGAUAGGAGCUCCUGCUGCAUGGUGGGGGUUGGAAAGUUUCGGCGGUUGGGGAUGGACUCGCGGCUUAUCAGCUUGUUGGUGGGGUAGUGGCUUACCAAGGCUUUGACGGGUAGCCGGCCUGAGAGGGUGACCGGCCACAUUGGGACUGAGAUACGGCCCAGACUCCUACGGGAGGCAGCAGUGGGGAAUAUGGCACAAGGGGCGGAAGCCUGAGGCAGCAACGCCGCGUGCGGGAUGACGGCCUUCGGGUUGUAAACCGCUUUCGCCUGUGACGAAGCGUGAGUGAAGGUAAUGGGGAAAGAAGCACCGGCUAACUACGU